CAAAGGAAAUCGUCCAGUUUUACCUUGUACCAUGUAAGUAGGUGUACAACUUCAAUAAAACUGGUAAAACAUCCGCAACCACUCUUCUCCAUGUGACGAUGAGGAAAAUUAAAGGUUUUUAAUUUCCUUAUGCGGAUCCGGAGUUAUCGGAGUUAUCGGAGUUAUAUAUAUGUCAUUAUCAGUUCUUCAUAAACUGAUGCGACGGCUCUUCGUGAGGACAAAAAAGUUGUGUUGUUUUUAAGAUGAGGAUGGCGAUCAACAAAACUCUCUUGGUUGCUUUUGUUGUUUUCCUUUGCUAUGCUGUUGGUGCGAUUUCUUCCAAAAAUAAUGGCCCGAUGAUUAUUCUUGACGGUAACCGGUCAAUCAGUACUCCAGAAGGUAUUGGUUCACUACCCACUAUUACAACUGCAUCGCUUGCUAGUACUCCAAAUGGACUGGCCCCACAACGGUGCAGUAUUGAUUCCAUUCUUGCUGUCCUGGGGAUGUGGAUUUGUAUUUGCGUCGUUUGAUCGGGAAAAAAAUACCUUAGCCAAAUUCCACAGAUCUUUACUUCCGAUUUUGUUGCCAAUUUUCUAGUGCACAUUAAUACGUGGAAAAGUACAAUUCAUCCAAGACGGAAAUUCACAGAUUUCCGUUCUGUUCUGGAUCUUUCCGAACGGAAAGUCAUGAUCAGCUUAAAAUGUACUUACCAUCUUUAAACACUGAUUGUGAUGGAUCCAGGACACUCUCAUACGAUCUACAUGUACAUGUAUAAUAUAAAUGUUUAAUGACUAUUCAUUGUUCUAUGAAGGAAGUUCAGGCACGUAGCAUCAGGGGGCUGGGGGGGGGGGGGUACUUUUUGUCGCAGCAAAGAUUAUUUUUAAAUUUACAUAUAAUAAAGGAAAUUAUUAAGGAGUCCCCCACCCCCCCCCCCCCCACUUUUUUGAGACCAAGUAAAAAAAAUUGAAAAGGAAAAAUAAGAAAACGAACAAUGAAAUAUAAGUUAAAGGUGUACUACGCUCCCCGCCCCCCCCCCCCCAUU